rnacentral:rRNA from 1 species
UACAGAGGGUGCAAGCGUUGUUCGGAAUUAUUGGGCGUAAAGGGCGCGUAGGCGGUUCGAUAAGUCCCGUGUGAAAUCCCUCGGCUCAACUGAGGAAUGGCACGGGAAACUGACGGGCUUGAGUUCGGGAGAGGGAAGCGGAAUUCCGGGUGUAGCGGUGAAAUGCGUAGAUAUCCGGAGGAACACCGGUGGCGAAGGCGGCUUCCUGGACCGACACUGACGCUGAGGCGCGAAAGCUAGGGGAGCAAACGGG